CUUAUUCUAUCUGUUCUUAAUGAGUUUUAGAUAAUUUUAGUUGUAUUUCUUUGUAAUUUUGUGUUGUACAAAGAUUAAUUUAACAUUUUCUCUGGAAGUAUUAAUUUAGAAAGAUAAUAUGCUUCAUUGGUGUUGUGUUUUGAAGUGUGAAAUGUGAUAAAGUCAAGAUAAAGUUCACUUUUAAACUGAACUAAAUAAGGUAUCUGAGAGACAACAAUGGUUAAAUGCAAUACAAUGUACAGGUUUUACUAGCGAAAUGAAAAUUUUCCUGUCCUGUCUGCUGUAAUCAUUUUAUAUCUGGAAAACCAGCCGACUUAAUAGAUAAUAACAAUCUCCAGAUUGGGUUCCUUCAAUAAAUAUGGUCUAUAAACACAAUGAAAUAAGUUCCCCAAAAUCUAAAAUGGAGUGGUAUCAAAGGAGAAUUAAAGGGAAAAAUAUUCAUAUUGAAAUUAUUUAUAAGGCACUGGACUGUCUUAAAUUCUACAAUAAUACUAGAAUCAGCUGAGAGAAGUGGUCUACAAAAAAACCAGGAAGGAAACGGAAUAUGUGGCUACGAAAGGCAAAAGAAAGGUUUACAAAGCAAAUGUGACACAUUUUUUUGAAAUAUUUAGGAAUAUCAGUAAAUUGCAUUAAAAAAAUGUAUGAAAAGAUUUUGUUCAAUAAAAAUGUUUAUAUUUA